rnacentral:tRNA from 1 species
GGGGUUGUAGCUCACUGGUAGAGCACUUACCUAGUACGUACAGGACCCUGGGUUCAAUCCCCAGCACUACCA